AGCGCAUACGGUGGAUGCCUUGGCAGUCAGAGGCGAUGAAAGACGUGGAAGCCUGCGAUAAGGCUCGGGGAGCUGGCAAACAAGCUGUGAUCCGGGCAUCUCUGAAUGGGGAAACCCACCGGUCUUCGGACCGGUACCGUACGGUGAAUACAUAGCCGUACGGGGCGAACUCGGGGAACUGAAACAUCUAAGUACCCGAAGGAAAAGAAAUCAACCGAGAUUCCCUCAGUAGCGGCGAGCGAACGGGGACCAGCCCUUAAGCUGGACAACUGGUAGGAGAAGGCCCUGGAAAGAGCCGCCAUAGUGGGUGAUAGCCCCGUAUCCGAAACCUGAGUCCAGUGAAAUCGAGUAGGACGGGACACGUGGUAUCCUGUCUGAAUAUGGGGGGACCAUCCUCCAAGGCUAAAUACUCCUGACUGACCGAUAGUGAACCAGUAC
rnacentral:rRNA from 13 species